rnacentral:rRNA from 1 species
UUUUUAUUAGAAUUUGAUAUUGCAUAUCAUUUAUAGAAAAUAUUAUUUUAAAUAAUAUUCUAAAAAAAUAGGUAGAAUUUUUUUAUUUAUUUUAUUUUUACAAAAUAAAAUUUAUAAAAAUUAGUGUUGAUAUGUCGAUUUUUUAUAUAUUAGAUUUGUUUUUUUUAUUUAGAAAUUUGUUAAUUAUUUCUUUAAUUUUUUUUUAAUAAGUAAUUUAUAGUUUUUUAAUUUUUUGUAUAAUAACAGUUAAUAUAAUAGGUUGUUGUUUUUUAUUUUUUAAAUUAAUAAUUUUUUAUUAUUUAUAUUAUUAUAAUAUUAGUAGAUAUUUUUUUAAAAAGUUUUUUUUUAAAAUUUAGAUUUUGAAAUUGAUAUAUUGAUAAAUGUUUUUUAAAUACUUAGGUUUUUAUUUAAAAUUAGCUUCUGCCCGGUGAUUUAUUUAACGGCAGUCUUAGCGUGAGGACAUUAAGGUAGCAAAAUAAUUUGUGCUUUUAUUGGGUUCGAGUAUGAAUGAAGUUCUGUUGAUUUAUAUAAUUUCUUUUUUUUGAAUUUUUAUAUUAAAUAAAAAUUUUUAUGUUUAAUUUUACAAAGAUAAGUCUUCGGAAAUUUUUUUGAUUUUUAUUUUUAUAAAAAUUAUUUUUUCUAGGGAAGAAUUAUUUAUAUAGGUUUAUUCUAUUAAUAGGUUUAAAAAUUACUUCGGAGUUAACAGAAAUACAUGCUUUAUCUAGUUGUUAUAGUAAAGUAAGUUUUACAUCGGUGUUGUAUUUGUAUUGUUUGGGGGGAAGAAUAUUCAAGUUUUAAGACUGUUCUUCUUUUUAAUAUAACGUGAUAUUAGUUUAAUUCAUCGUGAGAUAGAAUUGUUUAUCUUGAGAGUUAAUUGUUUGAUUAGGGUUUAUAGUACGAAAGGAAAUUUAUUUAAGUUAUUAACUUUUUUGUUUGACUAUUUUUUUUUUGGUUAUGUUA